rnacentral:rRNA from 1 species
AGUGAACGCUGGCGGUAGGCCUAACACAUGCGAGUCGAACGGCAGCACCGUACGAGCUUGCUCUUACGGGUUGCGAGUGGCGGACGGGUGACGAAUACAUCGGAAUCUACUUUUUCGUGGGGGUUAACGUAGGGAAACUUACGCUAAUACCGCAUACGCCCUACGGGUGAAAGCAGGGGGUCUUCGCACCUUGCGCGAUUGAAUGCGCCGAUGUCGGGUUAGCUAGUUGGCUGGGUGGAGGCCCACCCAGGCGACGAUCCGUAGCUGGUCUGAGAGAAUGGUCGGCGACACGGGAACGGAGACACGGUCCAGGCGCCUACGAGAGGCAGCAGUGGGGAAUAUGGGACAAUGGGCGCAAGCCUGAUCCAGCCAUACCGCGUGGGUGAAGAAGGCGUUCGGGUUGUAAAGCCCGUUUGUUGGGAAAGAAAAGCAGCAGGUUAAUACCCCGCUGUUCUGACGGUACCCAAAGAAUAAGCACCGGCUAACUUCGUG